rnacentral:tRNA from 1 species
UGCUUUUUAGUGUAAAAUGCACGUUGAAUUUUGAUUUCUAAAGAAGGAAUUACUUUCCUUAAAAGCAU